UUCCGUGUUGUCUAGCGGUUAGGAUUCCUGGCUUUCAUCCAAGCUGCUCGGGUUCGACUCCCGGCACUGGAG
rnacentral:tRNA from 1 species